GCCAGACCCACAAUGCCAGGACUCAGAGUAUCCUUCCCCAUUACUGAGAGGAUCGCAGCUGCAAGGACCACGGCAUUGCCCAGGAACUCAAGAUUCACCGCCAACCACCUACAGAUCACACAUGGUACACCCCUUGGCCCGAUGACUUUGUCAAAGAUGUGCUGACCCACAUGAGCGUCCACAGCAGACAGGGGGUCAUCGAGGAGGUACAGAUCAGCCUUUCUGUACACGGCACGAGCCAGGCUCACUCUCUGCUUCUGCCCCCCUGAGAGGUUCAGGCCCUGAAACGCGAUUAAAUACCAAAGGCAAGAUCUCCAGGUCUGGCAGCAGGGCACAGGCCUCUAAUACCCGCUGGUACCAGCUCUCCUUCCUCUCACGCCCAAACACAAUGUUGUCUCUCAGAGUGGCGUUCUGGAUCCAGGCUUGCUGAGGCACGUAGGCAACUGAACCCUGGGAAGCAGAGCAGAGGCGGCUGUGGAGAUGAGCUGGGAGAAAACCUUAGCUUUGCUUACAGUCUUUCUAUAGUAUGCUAAUUCCCUACCAAUGUGUGAAACAAACUAUGGUACCGUUACAGUUUCAAUUUAGAUUUCAUAUUUUCUGCAGUAAAUCAGACUACUAAAAUUC